rnacentral:rRNA from 1 species
UUAACGCGAAGAACCUUACCAUCCUUUGACAUGGUGUGUUACCCAGAGAGAUCUGGGGUCCCCUUCGGGGGCGCGCACACAGGUGCCGCAUGGCUGUCGUCAGCUCGUGUCGUGAGAUGUUGGGUUAAGUCCCGCAACGAGCGCAACCCACGUCCUUAGUUGCCAUCAUUCAGUUGGGCACUCUAGGGAGACUGCCGGUGAUAAGCCGCGAGGAAGGUGUGGAUGUCGUCAAGUCCUCAUGGCCCUUACGGGAUGGGCUACACACGUGCUACAAUGGCGGUGACAGUGGGAGGCGAAGGAGCGAUCUGGAGCAAAUCCCCAAAAGCCGUCUCAGUUCGGAUUGCACUCUGCAACUCGAGUGCAUGAAGGCGGAAUCGCUAGUAAUC